GGAGAGGUGUCCGAGUUGGUCGAAGGAGCACGGUUGGAAACCGUGUGUGGCGUCAUGCGUUACCGAGGGUUCGAAUCCCUCCCUCUCCG
rnacentral:tRNA from 1 species